rnacentral:rRNA from 1 species
UAAGCGGAGGAAAAGAAACUAACAAGGAUUCCCCUAGUAACUGCGAGUGAAGCGGGAAAAGCUCAAAUUUGGAAUNUGGUGGUCUUUGGCCAUCCGAGUUGUAAUUUAGAGAAGCNNCUUCCGCGCUGGACCGUGCACAAGUCUCCUGGAAUGGAGCGUCAUAGAGGGUGAGAAUCCCGUCUUUGGCAUGGAAUCCCAGGGCUUUCUGUGAUGCGCUCUCGACGAGUCGAGUUGUUUGGGAAUGCAGCUCAAAAUGGGUGGUGAACUCCAUCUAAAGCUAAAUAUUGGCGAGAGACCGAUAGCGAACAAGUACCGUGAGGGAAAGAUGAAAAGCACUUUGGAAAGAGAGUGAAACAGUACGUGAAAUUGUUGAAAGGGAAACGCUUGAAGUCAGUCGCGUCGACCGAGACUCAGCCUUGCCUCGGCUUGGUGUACUUCUCGGCUUGACGGGUCAGCAUCGAUUUCAAUCCUCGGAUAAUGGCAAGGGAAAGGUAGCACCUUUUUAGGUGUGUUAUAGUCCUCUGUCGCAUGCGAGGGUCGGGAUCGAGGAACUCAGCACGCACCUCAGGGUGUCGGGGCCUUGGCCCACGUUUACGUGCUUAGGAUGCUGGCGUAAUGGCUUUAAACGACC